GAUGAAGGAACGUAGCGAAAUGCGAUAAGUAAUGUGAAUUGCAGAAUUCAGUGAAUCAUCGAAUCUUUGAACGCACAUUGCGCCCCCUGGUAUUCCGGGGGGCAUGCCUGUCCGAGCGUCAUUACAACCCUCAAGCUCAGCUUGGUGUUGGGCCCCGCCGCCCCGGCGGGCCCUAAAGUCAGUGGCGGUGCCGUCCGGCUCCGAGCGUAGUAAUUCUUCUCGCUCUGGAGGUCCGGUCGUGUGCUCGCCAGCAACCCCCAAUUUUUUUCAGGUUGACCUCGGAUCAGGUAGGGAUACCCGCUGAACUUAAGCAUAUCAAUAAGCGGGGA
rnacentral:misc_RNA from 1 species